rnacentral:misc_RNA from 1 species
CUCUAGUGAGUAUUUUAUUAGAGAACGAAGAUAAACUAAACAUAUAUUAAAGCAGUCUAAUUAUGUUUUUAAGUAUUUACUUAAAGACUCACUAAGGUGGCACUCCACAAUUCUUUGUUUGACAUAUCGUCCUGAUCUAUAGAAAUUCAAGAAAUGAGUUGGAUUUUAUUUGUGAUGAAGAAUUUGAUACCAAAUCAAGUAUUUUUAUCAUGGAAGUUCCAAUUUUGGUGAUGACUAAGUUAAUCCGAAUUAACAUCCAAAAAUGAAGAUGG